CCUACGGGAGGCUGCAGUAGGGAAUCUUCCACAAUGGACGAAAGUCUGAUGGAGCAACGCCGCGUGAGUGAAGAAGGGUUUCGGCUUGUAAAGCUCUGUUGGUAGUGGAGAAAGAUCGAGGUCGUAACUGUCCUUUAUUUGACGGUAAUUACUUAGAUAGUCUAGGCUCACUACGUGCCAGCAGCCGCUGUAAUAGGUAGGUGGCAUGCGUUGUCCGGAUUUGUUGGGCGGAAAGGGAGUGCGGGCGGUUUGAUAAGUGUGAUGUGAAAGCCUUCGGCUCAACCGGAGAAUUGCAUCAGAAACUGUCGGACUUGAGUGCAGAAGAGGUGAGCGGAACUCGAAGUGUAGCGGUGAAAUGCGUAGAUAUAUGGAAGAACACCGAUUGCGAAGGCAGCUCACUGGACUGCAACUGACGCUGAGGCUCGAAAGCGUGGGUAGCGAACAGGAUUAGAUACCCGAGUAGUC
rnacentral:rRNA from 1 species